rnacentral:rRNA from 2 species
CAGCAACGCCGCGUGAGUGAUGAAGGCCUUCGGGUCGUAAAGCUCUUUGAUCAGGGACGAUAAUGACGGUACCUGAAAAACAAGCCACGGCUAACUACGUGCCAGCAGCCGCGGUAAUACGUAGGUGGCAAGCGUUGUCCGGAUUUACUGGGCGUAAAGAAUGCCUAAAUGGAUAUUUAAGUGGGAUGUGAAAUCCCCGGGCUCAGCCCGGGAACUGCAUUCCAGACGGAUAUCUGGAGUGCAGGAGAGGAAAGCGGACUUCCUAGUGUAGCGGUGAAAUGCGUAGAUAUUAGGAGGAACACCAGUGGCGAAGGCGGCUUUCUGGACUGUAACUGACACUGAGGCAUGAAAGCGUGGGGAGCAAACAGGAUUAGAUACCCUGGUAGUCCACGCCGUAAACUAUGGGUACUAGGU